UACGUAGGGUGCAGGCGUUAAUCGGAAUUAUUGGGCGUAAAGAGCUCGUAGGCGGUUUGUCGCGUCUGCUGUGAAAACCGGAGGCUCAACCUCCGGCCUGCAGUGGGUACGGGCAAACUAGAGUGCGGUAGGGGAGAUUGGAAUUCCUGGUGUAGCGGUGGAAUGCGCAGAUAUCAGGAGGAACACCGAUGGCGAAGGCAGAUCUCUGGGCCGUAACUGACGCUGAGGAGCGAAAGCGUGGGGAGCGAACAGG
rnacentral:rRNA from 1 species